GACGAACGCUGGCGGCGUGCCUAAUACAUGCAAGUCGAACGAGAGCGCCCGGUGCUUGCACUGGUCACUCUAGUGGCGCACGGGUGAGUAACACGUGGGUAACCUGCCCAUCAGUGGGGGAUAACAUUCGGAAACGGAUGCUAACACCGCAUAGGUCUUCGAACCGCAUGGUUUGAAGAGGAAAAGCGGCGCAAGCUUCUGCUGAUGGAUGGACUCGCGGUGCUUUAGCUAGUUGGUGGGGUAACGGCUCACCAAGGUCGGUAUGCAUAGACGACCGGAGAGGGUGGUCGGCCACAUUGGGACGGGGACACGGCCCAAACGCCUGCGGGAGGCAGCAGUAGGGAAUCGUCCGCAAUGGACGCGAGUCUGACGGAGCAACGCCGCGUGAGUGAAGAAGGUGUUCGGAUCGUAAAACUCGGUUGUUAGAGGAGAACAGGUGCUGGAGUAACUGUUGGCGGCUUGACGGUAACUAAUCAGGAAGCCACGGCUAACUACGUG
rnacentral:rRNA from 1 species